ACGCCUUGAUGUGUGGUGCUAGGGAGUUGUAGGGCGAACUCCAGGUGAGUGGGCAGUUUUGUUUUCCGUAUAUAUAUAUAUACUUAACGUUUUCCCAGAAAUUGAAAAUGCAUGAAAUUAUGUUUAAAAUGAAAUGCAUAUGAGUUAUGUGGAAAAACGGGAAGUGAAAUACCAUGCAUAGAAUUGAUGUGAAAAGUAUAUAGAAAUGUGAGUUGAAAUGCCAUGCAUGAAUUAAUAUAUGAUGCAUAUGUAUGAAUUGGUGCGGUGGACGCACAGGUAAGAAUUGAUUUAUGAUGCAUAUGUAUGAAAUGGUGCGGUGGACGCACAGGUAAGAAUUGAUUUAUGAUGCAUAUGUAUGAAAUGGUGCGGUGGACGCACAGAUGAGUAUUUAAUUACUGUUAUGAUGAUGAUGAUAUAUAUUGAGCUCAAAUCCUGCACCAUGGUUUAGUGCUUAUAGUAUUCACCGCAUCGCACGCUCGCCUUGGAUCCAAGUAGAUGCUAGUCGUACAGUCCACGCGGAGUGGGUACGACAGACCAGUCGCGAGAGUGUUAGUGAGAUUCCGACUGGUGGGUGACCUUAGAUUAUGUGCACAGAUGAUUUAUGAGAAGCACUAGAGCGUAACUUGUGUGCAGAAGGCCGGACGGGUCACAGAGGUGACUCCGGUAGAGUGAUAAUGAUAGAUUUUGAGCUCUAGGUUCAACCGUAUAGGGCUAUUAGAGGGCCUACAGUUGAUUACUUUCUUGCACCUGAUAUGAUUAUGUUGAUGCAUUCAUACCUUAUAACUGUUGAGAUGAUGUGGCAUGGCAUAAUUAAUAUGAGAAAUGUUGAGAUGACAUGGCAUGGCAUGAUUGAUAAAGAGAUAAUGUUGAGAUAGUAAAAAUGAAGUUUUGAGAAUAUAUAUGUAUAUUUAUAUUUUACAUUUCUGGGAAAGUAUACAGGUUUUACGGAGAGGGGUUACAACGUUUUGAGAAAUGUUUGGAUUUGGAAAAGAAUUGUUUUACUGACCCACUCAAUUUUGGUUUUGCGCCCCUCCAGGUUCAGGAAUCACAAAGGUGUGGUGACUACGAGGAAUUCGACGGUGUUAUGACAGAAUGGACCAAAUUAGGACGCACCUUCGGGUGUAUUAACUUUGAAGUUGUAUAAUUAAAGCUUCCGUACUGUGCAAAUGGUUACGUCACUCUCACGUGACGGCCAGCAUGC
rnacentral:lncRNA from 1 species